AGAGUUUGAUCCUGGCUCAGAACGACGCUGGCGGCAGGCUUAACACAUGCAAGUCGAACGGGUGUAGCAAUACAUCAGUGGCAGACGGGUGAGUAACACGUGGGAACCUUCCUAGAGGUACGGAACAACUCAGGGAAACUUGAGCUAAUACCGUAUACGCUCUUGCGAGGAAAGAUUUAUCGCCUUUAGACGGGCCCGCGUCGGAUUAGCUAGUUGGUGGGGUAACGGCCUACCAAGGCGACGAUCCGUAGCUGAUCUGAGAGGAUGAUCAGCCACACUGGGACUGAGACACGGCCCAGACUCCUACGGGAGGCAGCAGUGGGGAAUCUUGGACAAUGGCGCAAGCCUGAUCCAGCCAUGCCGCGUGAGUGAAGAAGGCCUUCGGGUUGUAAAGCUCUUUUGCCAGGGACGAUAAUGACGGUACCUGGAGAAUAAGCCCCGGCAAACUUCGUG
rnacentral:rRNA from 1 species